rnacentral:tRNA from 1 species
GCCUGGGUGGCUCAGUCGGUUAAGCAUCAGACUUUGGCUCAGGUCAUGAUCUCACGGUUCGUGGGUUCGAGCCCCACGUCGGGCU